UACGUAGGCAGCGAGCGUUGUUCGGAGUUACUGGGCGUAAAGGGUGUGUAGGCGGUUUUCUAAGUUUGGUGUGAAAUCUCCCGGCUCAACCGGGAGGGUGCGCCGAAAACUGGGAGACUAGAGUGCGGGAUGGGAGAGUAGAAUUCCUGGUGUAGCGGUGAAAUGCGUAGAUAUCAGGAGGAACACCGGUGGUGUAAACGGCUUUCUGGACCAUAACUGACGCUGAGGCACGAAAGCGUGGGUAGCAAACAGG
rnacentral:rRNA from 1 species